CCUACGGGAGGCUGCAGUGGGGAAUAUUGGGCAAUGGGCGCAAGCCUGACCCAGCAACGCCGCGUGAAGGAAGAAGGCUUUCGGGUUGUAAACUUCUUUUGUCAGGGAAGAGUAGAAGACGGUACCUGACGAAUAAGCCACGGCUAACUACGUGCCAGCAGCCGCGGUAAUACGUAGGUUGCAAGCGUUGUCCGGAUUUACUGGGUGUAAAGGGCGUGUAGCCGGGUUGAUAAGUCGGAUGUGAAAGCUUGCGGCUUAACCGCAGAACUGCAGUUGACACUGUUGAUCUUGAGUACUGGAGAGGAAGGUGGAAUUCGUGGUGGAGCGGUGAAAUGCGUAGAUAUAAGGAGGAACAGCGGUGGGGAAGGCGGUCUACGGGAGAGCAACUGACGGUGAGGCGCGAAGGCGUGGGGAGCAAACAGGAUUAGAUACCCGAGUAGUC
rnacentral:rRNA from 1 species